rnacentral:rRNA from 1 species
AGCGAACGCUGGCGGCAGGCCUAACACAUGCAAGUCGAGCGCCCCGCAAGGGGAGCGGCAGACGGGAGAGUAACACGUGGGAACGUACCCUUCAGUUCGGAACAACCAAGGGAAACUUUGGCUAAUACCGAAUACGUCCGUAAGGAGAAAGAUUUAUCGCUGAAGGAUCGGCCCGCGUCUGAUUAGCUAGUUGGUGGGGUAAUGGCCCACCAAGGCGACGAUCAGUACCUGGUCUGAGAGGAUGAUCAGGCUCACUGGGACUGAGACACGGCCCAGACUCCUACGGGAGGCAGCAGUGGGGAAUAUUGGACAAUGGGCGCAAGCCUGAUCCAGCCAUGCCGCGUGGAUGAUGAAGGCCCUAGGGUUGUAAAGUCCUUUCGGCGGGGAAAAUAAUGACGGUACCCGCAGAAGAAGCCCCGGCUAACUUCGUGCCAGCCGCCGCCGAACAC